UUGUUUCGUAAGCCUGUAAUGACCAAAUGAUUGCAGAUGAAAUUGCAAAAUCAUUAAAACCAAAGGGAGAUAAAAUUAAAAAAAAAAAUGAAAAAGGGACUUCCAAAAAUAUGGAAGGGCCGAAGGGGUCUUAUUUAGAAUAAACCACUUGACUCAAGGGAGUUAGUUACUCGGACUCCUAAAGGACGACGCAACUAGUGGCGUAAGCGCAUACCUCAGCACUGGAGUGGAUUGGUCGUCGGAAAGCUAAUGACAUUACAAAUUAUAUAAGAUUGAAAAAUAACACAAUCAUUUCCUGAUAUAAUAUAGAGAAAAAUUGCGGAUUUUGCAACUACUGACAGUUUUGAUUAGCUUUCAACCAUUUUGAAACAAUAUUUUAUUUAACCAAUUUACCAAUUUCCUGUAGCAGGUAGUUUGACUGACUAUUAAUGUAUGGUUUGUGUAUAAUUAGACAAUUAACGAGACUGACGUCAAAUGAAUUUGGAUUGCGUCAUUUAUCACAUCUUCCGCAUCCGUGCCACCGUGGCACCAUUGGGAUGAUAUUGUUUAUACACAGAUGGCAAUAAGACGGAAUCGUUUGCGCUCUAGUUUAUAUUUUGAGCACGUUUAUUUUAAUAAACUCUUAUAUCAAUAAAAAUAAUCUUGAUUGAAUUUACUAUGAAUGACAUUGAUAUUAUUUAGAAAAUACUCUUACCACCCAUACAAAUAAUCCCAAACACUUUAGUCUAAUAUAAAAUGAAAAUGCUUCGUUUUAUAUACACCCCAGAAUUGAUUUGAAAAUCAUCAAGCCACCCACACAAUCUUUAGUGUUUGCUGCUUUACAUUCCAGAAUGUGAAAAAAUAAUAACAAUUAACAAGAAGAAAGGACGUUAAUGUGGAGGAACAAAUAAUUAGGGAUGACAAUGGGGAAGGGAGGGGACGGGACUGACAUCCCCGCACCCACCUUUGAUAUACUGCAUAUAUCCACGUCCCCUCCCCGUCCUCAUUAGAAUUGCUUGAGGGAAUCCCCGUCCCCUCCCCGAAUAAUAAAAUGGGAUCCUCGAGGGGUCUCUAAUCUCCGAAUAACUAAUACGUUUUUAAAGUUAAAUUAUGAAUUUAAUUUAAUCAUAUUAAAUUAAAAAUUUAAACCAAAGUAAGGUUUGACAAUAUACCCUACACUAACAUUAAUCCAUUACAAAAAUCACACUACAAAAUACAAAUCAUCAGAAUAAUUACAUUCGUCAAUCUUCAUGAUCUUAUAAUAAAAAAAAAAACUUUUAUAUCAAUAAUGAAAUAAAUGAAAUGGGUAUAGAUAUUGAAAUUAAUAUUUUUAAUGAAAGCAUUUACUCUUACACCUCAUGUUCUUCCUCAAGGAAUGUGACAAAUUGAAAGAUAAUAUCAUGUUUCAAAUCUAAAACAAUAAAAAUAAUAUAAGCAAUAUGACUCAUAAUUUAAAACAGUUUUGGGCCAAGGCAUUUACAAUAAAGUCUAGUCAAAUAGUAAUUCAUGACUACAACUAGUUAAGUAGGCUCGAAAUUUUUUUAGUAGAUUUGUAUAAAUAUUUUGAUAUUUUUUAUUUAUACAAUAUUUAAUAU
rnacentral:lncRNA from 1 species